CACGUAGGGGCCAAGCGUUGUCCGGAUUUAUUGGGCGUAAAGAGCUCGUAGGCGGUUCAGUUAGUCGGGUGUGAAAACUCUGGGCUCAACUCAGAGACGCCACCCGAUACUGCUGUGACUUGAGUCCGGUAGGGGAGCAGGGAAUUCCAGGUGUAGCGGUGAAAUGCGCAGAUAUCUGGAGGAACACCAGUGGCGAAGGCGACUACCUGGCCUGUUCUUGACGCUGAGGCGCGAAAGCUAGGGGAGCAAACGGG
rnacentral:rRNA from 1 species